UGGCACAAUUGGUAGAACACUGGACUUGGAGUCCAGAAGACUUGGGUUCAAAUCCCAA
rnacentral:tRNA from 1 species